UUUGCACUUGUCGGGGAAAGGGUGAGAACCUUCGAUUAGGUUCGACUUGAGCGAAAACGAAGAACGUUAUAACGGCAACGGCCCGUAAAUUGAAGGAGCGAAGCGACGAAUAAUCAACUCCCCACCACCA
rnacentral:sRNA from 1 species